UCCUGGCUCAGGAUGAACGCCGGCGGUGUGCCUAAUACAUGCAAGUCGUACGCGUUGGCCCAACUGAUUUGAAGUGCUUGCACGGAUCUGACGUUGGUUUACCAACGAGUGGCGGACGGGUGAGUAACACGUAGGUAACCUGCCCAGAAGCGGGGGACAACACUUGGAAACAGGUGCUAAUACCGCAUAACAAUUCAAAUCGCAUGAUUUGAAUUURAAAGAUGGUUUCGGCUAUCACUUCUGGAUGGACCUGCGGCGCAUUAGCUUGUUGGURGGGUAAYGGCYUACCAAGGCAGUGAUGCGUAGCCGAGUUGAGAGACUGAUCGGCCACAAUGGGACUGAGACACGGCCCAUACUCCUACGGGAGGCAGCAGUAGGGAAUCUUCCACAAUGGGCGCAAGCCUGAUGGAGCAACACCGCGUGAGUGAAGAAGGUUUUCGGAUCGUAAAGCUCUGUUGUUGAAGAAGAACGUGCAUGAGAGUAACUGUUCAUGCRGUGACGGUAUUCAACCAGAAAGUCACGGCUAACUACGUGCCAGCAGCCGCGGUAAUACGUAGGUGGCAAGCGUUAUCCGGAUUUAUUGGGCGUAAAGAGAGUGCAGGCGGUUUCUUAAGUCUGAUGUGAAAGCCUUCGGCUCAACCGAAGAAGUGCAUCGGAAACUGGGRAACUUGAGUACAGAAGAGGGCAGUGGAACUCCAUGUGUAGCGGUGGAAUGCGUAGAUAUAUGGAAGAACACCAGUGGCGAAGGCGGCUGCCUGGUCUGUAACUGACGCUGAGACUCGAAAGCAUGGGUAGCGAACAGGAUUAGAUACCCUGGUAGUCCAUGCCGUAAACGAUGAGUGCUAGGUGUUGGAGGGUUUCCGCCCUUCAGUGCCGGAGCUAACGCAUUAAGCACUCCGCCUGGGGAGUACGACCGCAAGGUUGAAACUCAAAGGAAUUGACGGGGGCCCGCACAAGCGGUGGAGCAUGUGGUUUAAUUCGAAGCUACGCGAAGAACCUUACCAGGUCUUGACAUCUUGCGCCAACCCUAGAGAUAGGGCGUUUCCUUCGGGAACGCAAUGACAGGUGGUGCAUGGUCGUCGUCAGCUCGUGUCGUGAGAUGUUGGGUUAAGUCCCGCAACGAGCGCAACCCUUGUUACUAGUUGCCAGCAUUMAGUUGGGCACUCUAGUGAGACUGCCGGUGACAAACCGGAGGAAGGUGGGGACGACGUCAGAUCAUCAUGCCCCUUAUGACCUGGGCUACACACGUGCUACAAUGGACGGUACAACGAGCAGCGAACUCGCGAGGGCAAGCAAAUCUCUUAAAACCGUUCUCAGUUCGGAUUGCAGGCUGCAACUCGCCUGCAUGAAGUCGGAAUCGCUAGUAAUCGCGGAUCAGCAUGCCGCGGUGAAUACGUUCCCGGGCCUUGUACACACCGCCCGUCACACCAUGAGAGUUUGUAACACCCAAAGUCGGUGGGGUAACCUUUUGGAGCCAGCCGCCUAAGGUGGGACAGAUGAUUAGGGUGAAGUCGUA
rnacentral:rRNA from 2 species